AAAUCUACCACCAUCUCCCUUUCUUUGCGUUGGAAGAAAAUUGAAGCAGAUCGAGAACCAAAAGAUGGAUGCCUCCUAGUGCUUGCUUUUGAUUCGAGAGAAGUUGGGAGGCGAUACCUUUUUGCAGUCGACGAAAUUUAGUUAAGGUAAUCGUACUUUUCUUCUCCUCCAUUAAUUCGUUCUCCUCCAUGAACAUCGUACUUCUCUUCUCCUCCGUUAACAAAUCGCUUCUCGAUUUAGGGUUCACUUAGACAUACCGAUUCAACGUUUUCAAGUGGUGGUCAGAUUCAAUUGUGGCUCUCUUUUGGUUAGCAGGACAAGGGGAGUUGAUUUUUUUUUAAGAGGAACUUCUUCAAUUUGUGGCGGUAAGUACUCCCUCG
rnacentral:lncRNA from 1 species